rnacentral:rRNA from 1 species
AUUGAACGCUGGCGGCAUGCCUUACACAUGCAAGUCGAACGGCAGCACGGGUGCUUGCACCUGGUGGCGAGUGGCGAACGGGUGAGUAAUACAUCGGAACGUACCUUAUCGUGGGGGAUAACGCAGCGAAAGCAGUGCCAAUAACGCAUACGCCCUGAGGGGGAAAGCGGGGGAUCGAAAGACCUCGCGCGAUUAGAGCGGCCGAAGCCUGAUUAGCUUGUUGGUGGGGUAAAAGCCCACCAAGGCGACGAUAAGUAGCUGGUCUGAGAGGACGAGCAGCCACGAUAGGACUGGGACACGGCCCAGACUCCUACGGGAGGCAGCAGUGGGGAAUUUUGGACAAUGGGGGCAACCCUGAUCCAGCAAUGCCGCGUGAGUGAAGAAGGCCUUCGGGUUGUAAAGCUCUUUUGUCAGGGAAGAAACACCGGCUCUAACACAGUCCGGGAAUGACGGUACCUGAAGAAUAAGCACCGGCUAACUACGUGCCAGCCGCCGCCGUAA